rnacentral:misc_RNA from 1 species
AGCUUGCCGGCCAAUGUCCCGCGAGCAGAGAAAGAAUCAGAAGUCUUGUAAAGAUGAUGUCAGGCAAUUACACUAGUAUUGAUAAUCAAAAGGUCUCGGGAUCCGUACCUUCUGUUCCAGAUCCAGGCCUCUCUGGUAAAUUCUCAGAUUCGAAUCUGCAGACGUUUCCUCCACCAAAUGCGCAUGGGAAAAUCUCCGGUGGAUCUCACCCUCCUCGCGAUGCUGAUGAUACAUUUUCAAAGCCUUCUUCUGCUUCUGAUGAACCCCAGCAAAGUGGUUGGUUGCGGACAUUCACAAUUGCUGCAUAUAAGCUAUACUUUGAUAUAGACACUACAGAUGUUUUGGAGAGAAUCAAAGAUUCGCUUUUCCCUUUCAGAGGAACUUUUUCUGAGAAAACUGCUGGCAACCCAGAUUUGUAUGGACCAUUCUGGAUAUGCACUACC